rnacentral:rRNA from 1 species
UACGUAGGGUGCGAGCGUUGUCCGGAAUUAUUGGGCGUAAAGAGCUCGUAGGCGGUCUGUCGCGUCGGUCGUGAAAACCUGCAGCUUAACUGUGGGCGUGCGGUCGAUACGGGCAUGACUGGAGUUCGGCAGGGGAGACUGGAAUUCCUGGUGUAGCGGUGAAAUGCGUAGAUAUCAGGAGGAAUACCGAUGGCGAAGGCAGGUCUCUGGGCUGACACUGACGCUCAUGCACGAAAGCGUGGGGAGCAAACAGG